UACAGAGGGUGCGAGCGUUGUCCGGAAUCACUGGGCGUAAAGGGCGCGUAGGUGGUGACCUAAGCGUGCGGUGAAAGCCCGAGGCUCAACCUCGGGUCGGCCGUGCGACUGGUCACUGGAGCAGAAUAGAGGCAGGUGGAAUUCCGGGUGUAGCGGUGGAAUGCGUAGAGAUCCGGAAGAACACCGGUGGCGAAGGCGGCCUGCUGGGUUCUGGCUGACACUGAGGCGCGACAGCGUGGGGAGCAAACAGG
rnacentral:rRNA from 1 species